UGGCCCUGGUGUGCGCCACUGCCACCCUGGAGACACUCCAGGGGAAGGAACCACUAAGUCCAGGCUACAGUUGAUUGCUGGGAACAACAAAGGAGAAAAGAGGAACAGGAGUGAGAUUAAAGAUUGAAAAUCUAUGGAAACAGAGCAGAGAAUCCCAGAAAGCACCCACCACUUUUCAAAGGCAUCCAAGGAAACAGUAGACACUGCCCAGAGGAACUCCGCCUGGAGAUGUGAGCAGACAAGGGACAAUAAAAAGGCCCCACAAUUGCAGAGUACCCCCCCUCAUCCAGCUUCCUCCUCUUGGAGUGAUAGAUGGCUAUCUUGGCCAGUGUCCAGAGGAUGUUGACAAGGAGGUCCCAUUACUUUGUGGGGCCAUGGAUGAAGUGUACAUAAAGCAGGAGGUGGGGGGGGGGAAGGGGCAGCCAGAACCUCAGGAGGAGGUUCUGGAUGAUCCACAAGAGGGGCUGCAACCUGCUGCACUCUACAUAGAUCUCAAGGGUUGCUGUAGAAGGAACAUGUAUCAGAAGAGUUUGUGAACCAUGCCAGUACAUGCCUGUCCUUACAGCUCCACGUAGGAACUGCCAGUUAACAUUUCUGGUGGGCCAUGGAAUUACAGUAGAGUACAGACAGGCCAACCAGGGUUCCUCAACCUCCACUGGUGGCAAUAGGUUCCUCCACUUGGUGUUGGAUGGGACACAAGGGUGAGGAAGUGAAUGGUAUGAAGAAUGAAUGCUUACAGAUAUUCUCUGGGCACAGCUUGGAGGCAGACCUAGGUGGCAUGUUGGAGGCAGCCAGGGGCGGGGCUCGUAGAGCAGGGGCCCAAUAAUGAGUUCUGGAGGGCCAGAGAUGAGGGGGUGGACACAAAGCACACUCAUGCAGGACCCACUCAAGGAAAGUCAGAAUCAGGAGCCAAGGCUGCCCUCACUUCCCAGAGCACACAACAUUGGAGAUGCAGGCUGGGCAGCCUCAUGCACUGGCCGAGCACCACAGGGUCCACCCAGUGUCUCAGAUCAAUUCUGAUGGCACCAGCCAGGACUAUCCUCUGGAAAACCAAGGGUGACACCACCACCUGAACACAGAGAUGGGAGCUGUGUGUAGCAGGAGUUCUGCAGCACACCAUGGAACUUUUAUUGCAUGGAGGCCAGUUAUUGUGUGGCAGGCUAGUGUGCUGUAUAUUUACAUCCCAGUUUACUGUGCACUGCCAGUGUAGACAUGCCCUCGCUCCCUGUGUGAUUCAUCUCCUGGGUGUGGAACACAGCAUGGCAGUUACCUGACUUAGAGGUAUAGGAAAGACCCUGCAUUAACUUGAUUAGCUGUUUGCUAAUUUGAGGAGUCCGCAGUGAAAAUGCUGAUCAAAACCCCCACACAACAAUUGAAUGGGUCUUUUGGUCCUGUCCCACACUCCAGCAUAUAUCCUAUGUUGCUAGUUACUCGUUCUUUAUUAUGUAGUUAUCAAAUAAAACUUUGUAAUAUGUGUUUUGCAUAAAUUAGUUAAAUAUAUUGUAAAACAAUAUACCAAAGAGAAUUUGAAACAUGAACAUUGACUUUAUGUUGUAAAAAGUUUAACACUGUGUGGCAGGUGUUCUUCAUACUGUAAUGCAGUUUUGUUUGUAGAACAUGACAAAUGGAAUGGGCAAGAUAAACUGAAAUGUUACUAUUUAUUUCUUAUGUAUAACAUUAUUGUAACAAUGUUUUCAAAAGUGCAAGAUUAAUUCCAUACAUGUGGUCAGGGUGUAGCAGACUGUUGGGAACCAAGUGUUUCCUCUUUUUAUACUCCCUUAUAAUGGCUGCACUAUAUAUUUGAGUUUUUACAAUACUUUCCUCAUUGCCAGAUAGUUUGGGGUUCAAAAAUAAAAUCACAAAACCUCUGUUAAAUGUGUUUUUGUUUUGGUUCUUUAAAUAAAAAAAAAUUCUUAGUA